rnacentral:rRNA from 1 species
UGGAAUGAUGGGAAUUUAAACCUCUUCCAGAGUAUCAAUUGGAGGGCAAGUCUGGUGCCAGCAGCCGCGGUAAUUCCAGCUCCAAUAGCGUAUAUUAAAAUUGUUGCAGUUAAAAAGCUCGUAGUUGAAUUUCUGCUGCAUCGUCGCAUCUCUUGCUGAGUGCUUCGUUUCGGCUUAUUUCGGAUUGAUUUUUUCUUUCCGGAUGAUUACUUUGAGAAAAUUAGAGUGCUCAAAGCAGGCUUUUGCCUUGAAUAGUUUAGCAUGGAAUAAUAAAGUAGGACUUUGGUUCUAUUUUGUUGGUUUUAGGUACCAAAGUAAUGGUUAAUAGGAACAGUUGGGGGCAUUCGUAUUUAACUGUCAGAGGUGAAAUUCUUAGAUUUGUUAAAGACGAACUACUGCGAAAGCAUUUGCCAAGGAUGUUUUCAUUAAUCAAGAACGAAAGUUAGGGGAUCGAAGACGAUCAGAUACCGUCGUAGUCCUACC